UACAGAGGUGGCAAGCGUUUGUUCGGAAUUACUGGGCGUAAAGGGCGCGUAGGCGGCCUUCUAAGUCAGACGUGAAAUCCCCCGGCUUAACCUGGGAACUGCGUCUGAUACUGGAGGGCUUGAGUGCGGGAGAGGGAUGUGGAAUUCCAGGUGUAGCGGUGAAAUGCGUAGAUAUCAAGUAGAACACCAGUGGCGAAGGCGAGUCCCUGGAAAACUCCUGACACUGAGGCACGAAAGCUAGGGGAGCAAACAGG
rnacentral:rRNA from 1 species